GUCCACGCCGUAAACGAUGGAUACUAGCUGUUGGGGCAACUUCAGUGGCUAAGCGAAAGUGAUAAGUAUCCCACCUGGGGAGUACGUUCGCAAGAAUGAAACUCAAAGGAAUUGACGGGGCCCGCACAAGCGGUGGAGCAUGUGGUUUAAUUCGAUGAUACGCGAGGAACCUUACCAAGGCUUAAAUGUAGAUUGACCGUUUUGGAAACAGAACUUUCGCAAGACAAUUUACAAGGUGUUGCAUGGUUGUCGU
rnacentral:rRNA from 1 species